CAGUAGCCGCGGUAAUACGUAGGUGGCAAGCGUUGUUCGGAAUUAUUGGGCGUAAAGGGCUCGCAGGCGGUUUCUUAAGUCUGAUGUGAAAGCCCCCGGCUCAACCGGGGAGGGUCAUUGGAAACUGGGAAACUUGAGUGCAGAAGAGGAGAGUGGAACUCCACGUGUAGCGGUGAAAUGCGUAGAGAUGUGGAGGAACACCAGUGGCGAAGGCGACUCUCUGGUCUGUAACUGACGCUGAGGAGCGAAAGCGUGGGGAGCGAACAGGAUUAGAUACCCGCGUAGUCCCUGUCUCUUAUAC
rnacentral:rRNA from 1 species